UCCAGAGGAUGCAAGCGUUAUCCGGAAUGAUUGGGCGUAAAGCGUGUGUAGGUGGCUUUUUAAGUCCGCCGUCAAAUCCCAGGGCUCAACUCUGGACAGGCGGUGGAAACUGCCAAGCUGGAGUAUGGUAGGGGCAGAGGGAAUUUCCGGUGGAGCGGUGAAAUGCGUAGAGAUCGGAAAGAACACCAACGGCGAAAGCACUCUGCUGGGCCGACACUGACACUGAGAGACGAAAGCUAGGGGAGCGAAUGGG
rnacentral:rRNA from 1 species